UUUUGAGAAUCAUGAGGGUUUAAACAAUUUCAGGACAAGGAUCUCUCAAUGAAUUGAUUGAGAUUUAGGGAGAAUGCUAAAGGUAAUGACCAAAAAAUGCAUACAGGAAUAAAACCUUGACUACCCAAUGGUUUCCAAGUGCUUACUCCUAAUCAUCUAAACCCGGAUGAUCCCUAUGUCUACCCUUCAACAUCAAUCCCAUUUUUUUCUUUUUCUUUUUUCCUUAGGAGAAGUUUCUUAUCUACACUAGUGGAUAGGAGAUUUCUUCUUAACUAUGGUUCUGUUUUCUUCUUACGUUAUAAGACAUAAAAACGUUUUUGUCUUU
rnacentral:lncRNA from 1 species